rnacentral:sRNA from 1 species
CAUUUCGCUUCUCCGAGGGCCGCAUGCGUUCAAGGACCCCAGAUAAUUAUGUUACGAGGACACAUGGCCCCAGCUUGAGGCAGACAGAUAACCGAAAAGGCAGGAGGGCAAAAGCAAUGCUUAAUGUGGCUUUAAUUAGUGGAAUCACAAAAAUGAAUGUGGAGGGGAAAAUAAUAAGAACGUAGUGAAGAAGUAGAGCAACCCCAAGCCAUAAUAUCAAACCGAGCAGACCUGCCUGCUGUUUGUGCCACCAAAGCGAAAAAUAUCUGAGGCCGAAAUGACCUUGCAUAAAUUAGAUAUUAGCCGUCCCGAUGCUGAGGCUGCCAUCCUGCGAAGGACACUCUGGCAUUUAUUAAGUGAACCAUUUCAAUUUUCACUGAUAGUUUGACAUUUCCCAGCUUAAUCAGCCGUGCUUUCGCAAGCCAAAAAAAAAACGUGAAAAACCCAAACGAAUCGCAGGAAUUAUGCAAAUGAUCAGGGGGCGAAAGUGGCAAGGAUUUUCGCAGUAGGCUUUCGGCUAAGUCUGCUUCCACAUGUUGCUUUAUCUCCAUCUCUGUGCCAAAUAACUCAGGUCAGGCAAAGUAGCGCAGCGUUGACUUUGUGUACUCCGAACAAUGUGGUUUGCCUGUUUUUUUUUUGUUUGUUUUUAUGUUCUGGAAAACUGGUAACCAAGGCUUAGACAAGACUCUGGCAACUUGAUGAUGGGAUAAACGGCAUUGAAAGCAUACUCAGUGGGACUGUAGCUGCCGCAAUUAUUAAUGUUGUUUCCCACAUAUCCGAGCUUAAAUCAGGCAAUGCACAGUGGUUCACAUUGUGUGGGGAAAGUGGCCAAAAAUAAUUCCAGUUGAGGUAGACACUUAUAUACAUUGAUAUAUACUUGUAUUUUAAUUAUUCAAAAUUCAAAAAAAUAUAUAAUACAUUUAUAAUUUAAAAAGAUUGCUCAAGUAAAUCAAUGGCUGAUUUUAAAAGCUUCGACUUUGGUUUGCAUGGAAGUUUUCUUUGACCUGUGAUAAAUGGAUCAGAGCUCAAAAGUACAGGACCGAGUAUGGGACCGAGUACGUGACCGAGUACGGGACCAGUACGGGACCAG